GGGCAUACCCGUAGACCCUGCCUGACUGUUCGUGGCCAGGCAGGGGGGACAGUGUAUGCAAGAGUCAUUUGGAGUUUGUGCCAGCUCUAGCCAGCUUAUUCAGUGGCUGGAUGAGUGGCAUUACUCGAACAUUC
ensembl:snoRNA SNORA58B small nucleolar RNA, H/ACA box 58B